UUAUUCACAGACUCUGUGAGAUCGUGGUCC
rnacentral:piRNA from 2 species